CGUCUAACAACUAAGUCUAAGUUCCAUAGACCAAAAGUUAAAUUAUUCUUCAUAUUUGUUCCAAGGUGCCAGGAUUCCAGGAGGAAAUAAAACUCAAUUUCAAAAACAAACUUUACAGUUUAAAAUGAGAACAAGCCAGCUUUUCUCUUGUGUACAAAGGGCUAUUUCCAAGCAAGAGUGAAAUUAAACAGCUUGUCGAAGGAUGUCAUUAACAGUUGAUGUAGGACAUUUGUUGAACAAAUAUCUAAGUAUGACGCCUCCACGUGAGACCCUUGACCUCAAGCAUCCAAUUGUCUUAUUGAAAAGCUGUGAAAAUAAACCAAAGCAGGUUGCAAGGAAUGCCUUGUGAGCCAGAGGAUUUCAGCAUUGUACGGGCGACAAAGGGCCAUCAUCUACUGGUUUGCUACUUCCUCUUUAGAUCAUAUGCCUCAGCACUUGCUCCCUGAAAAAUCCUGGGAUCCCCUGUGACUUCUCCACCAUAUUGUCAUCCACCUUCGGCUUCAACUCCUUCUGUCAUGGCAAUUUUAAUCUUGGCAAGGUGCUCUUCCAUGGUUCUUACAUCACAUUGCCCUCUGUGACAUCAUAGUAAAAUAAGCAUGGAAUUUCCCCUUGCGUGGAAAUUUCCCCAAGCAUGGACUCUUUUAUGUGGCAUAAAAUGAUGUAGCACAUGACCACACCCAGAGCAGAAUGUGCUGUGUCUGAGGGGAACUCACACCCUUGAGACAGGACUAAAAGCUCUGCAUUCCUCUGCACGUAAGAUACUCCUGGAGAGACAGAAAUGGAGCCAUUAUUCCUUUAUUUCCGGACACCCUGGGACUGAGAAGUUUGCUGUAUCCUGGUGGUCAUGCCAGUACCCGCAGCCCCCACUCAUUGAGCUGGAGGCGGCACAGAGAAGCCACAGACUUGAGCAGAGCCGUCCUGCCCUCAACCUCAUUAUGCACCACCCUCGAGGCUGCAUGUGCAAAACCAGAUGGUCUGGCGGCAAAGCUGCAGAUGCCAAUCAGGUACUCUAUUGGCAAACAGGCUCGCUAAUCAAGCCCCUUUCAAGCGACAUCUGCUUCCCUCUCCCUACAGGUACACAGAGGAGCACAUGGAGCAGGAGUAACUUGUACAAAGUGACAUGCUGGUGAGGUGCAGAGCUGGGAUUUGAAUCCAGGCUGUAUGCCUUAAGAGUGAGUACUUCCACUGAAUACCAUUAAGACUCUGUUUUAAUAAGGCCUCAUUAUUUCUAUAUAAAUGGGAAUGCAGAGUGUAGAUGGGAAUGAAAGAAGUGAGUCUGAACCACCUGGCACAAGUUCACCUGGGUACACGAUGAAGUCUGUGCGUCCUGGGGAGAUGCUGCAAACGUUCUCACAAGUGUUGCCAGCUUGCGGCAUUUCCUAUUAGAUAAAAGCAAUGGGGACAUUUCGAGAGCCUUUUCCUUGUAAAGAGCUGUCCUUAGCGAACAAUCUCGGGCGCCUUAGUGUUUGCCACAGAGGCUCUUCUCUCAAAUCAUUUUCCUGCCAUGGAAACGGUGCUUUGAAGCUGCGAUUUAAUAUCUGCUACCCGAGUAGAAAGAGCAUGAGCACUUGCAUUGAUGUGUUCUUCAGGAGUUUGCAGGCUUCUGCCUACAAUAGGUGCUCAGAAAAUCAGUGUAAGAUGGGGCCGGGGAGAAGGCGAUCCUUUAAAGCUCUGGAAGGCGUUAGCAGGACACAUACCUGAGACAAAGAAAGCUGCUUCGGCAAGUUUAGUGUUGGGUCAAGACAGGCAGAACUUGUUCACAAGUGGGCUGCAAGGCAAACAAGAGGUCCUGGGUAAAACUGUGCAGGAGACUUCGCAUGUUUCUCAUGGGGUCCUUCUACAUUCAACUGAAACGUUAAUUUUGAUUGAAUUGUAUUUGAGCAAGUGACAAAUGGUUGCACUAAGGUGUGACUUCAUAGGUUUCCAAGUAACCUGCAUUUACCUUAUGAGAAAGGCACUGUUUUGUAGGUGUCAAUGUUAUAGGAAUAUCCAUCCAUGUGUACCAUUUUUGUAGGUAAAGUUUUACUAAGCAUAGAUCUCAGAUUUAACUUGACCAGAAUCAAAAGUAUUUGUUGUUUUUCUACACAUGCACACCCUACUCUGUAUGAACGUCAGGGGAAGGUGGGUGUUGUGGAGACGGUACGGCAGGUACCCAUCUAUAACUGCCAGAGAAAAGUACCUGUCCUGUUACAUUGUCUGAAACGAGCUAUGUCUCCCCAAACCAUAGGACUACAGCUACACUGGUGGCAGCCUUGCCAGUUCUGAGGGAACAAGGGUCGGUGACACCCUAAGCUACAGAUUUGCUUGUCAUCUCUACUGCCGACUCAUGCUGGCCCAGUCACCAGGCUGCAGAAACCUGUCACCUGCUCAGAUGUCAAGGAAAGCAGAGCUGCAGCCGCGACAUGCGAAUCGUCUGUCUCAAAGGCUCUCUGCUGGGCUCUGAUGAAUGCCCAAGUGGCUGGCGGCCGAGUGGAGCUUUGAUUAACUGUGUGGUGUGUACCCACUCAGCUUCAGGGAGAUUGUGUAUUGUCAGUCAGCUGUCUCCUGGGUGCUGAAUUCUCAUUUAAGCUUCUGUAUUUAACAGGAACGUGGAGCGUUCUCUCACUCUGGAGUUAGCAAUGAAGUUCAAAUCAGAUGUAAUUUGCAGUUUUAUAAAGGCUAGGUAAUAUUUUCUGUCUCUGUAAAUAGCUCAGAAACAGAAUUGCUUUUGAUUAUAACUUCUCAUUCUCAAAUUUGCAUUAAAGCGUGCUCCCUAACGAGAUAAAAAUGUUUCUCCACCACACAUCCAUGCGGGGCUUACGCUCACACUUAGCACUGUUCCCAGGUAUGAGACUGUUUGAUUUUAGCUACUAAGACUUCGUGGUUUUAAGGGCAAUUUGAAUGCAUGGGACUUGUUGCACACAGAUGUACGCCCCCAUCCUUCAAAACAGCAGCUAGAUUACAACAGGCCUUGAUGAAUGUGGGUCUUGCAUAGAAACACAAGCUAACAUGUGUCUAAUUGUUUAGCAGCAGAGACCCAUCUCAUGCUCUGUAAAUUAGCAUUCUCUUUAAGAGCCAAAUCAAAUAUUAGAUUCCAGCUCUACAGCUAAGAGUCCAUGGGCGGCACUGUCACCCCCCAGGCUAAUGGUGCUGAUUGCAUAUACAAAGAUUUGGGGGUGGGAGUCUAUGGAUUUCUAACCAGGUCUUCAAAAUUUUGACCUUGUUGCUAGUAUUUUCCAUACACUGAAAUUUAAUGUCAUACCACUUAGCAACAUAAAAUCCAUAUCCAGAUAGAAGAAUUUCUGUGGGAAAGACAAACAGUAUCCUAAAAUCUGAACUAAGAAUAAAGAAGUAUAUUUACUUCUUUUUAAAGAUUUAUUUAAAGGCAAAGAAAUGAAGAAAAGGGUCUUCCACGUCCUGGUUCACUCUACAAAUGGCUGCGACUGUAGUGACUGGGCCAGGCCCAAGCCAGGAGCUUGGAAUGCCAUCUGGGUCUCCUACGUGGGUGGCGGGGGCCCAAGCACUUGGGCCAUCAUAUGCUGCUUUUUCAGGCUCAUUAGUAGGAUCAGAAUCAGAGCAGCUAAGACUUGAACUAGCUCUCCAAUAUAGGAUACAAGCUACUGCCCGCAACACUGCCCCACCCCCGUCUUUCUAAUUGUUUUGAACACAUUUAAAUACGUAAGCUUCUGGCUUUGAUGCUUUGGUGGCAUAUUUAUUAUUUUUUUAAAGUAUGCUUUUUUGAUAUCCCCUGAAAGCCCACACCAUUCCCACCUUCACAGAGCAGUUUCUUUUCCCUAAGUUGUUAAUGAGAGGUCAAAUAGAUAAAAUAAGCAAUCUAAUAGUGAUCAGCCAUAUCAGUGACUGUAAUAAAGAUAAGAGUUGAUUUCAGUGAAAAAGGUAAGACUGAGAUAGUGGAGACAAUGACUACUGAAGGCAGUUUUCACUCUGUAGGGUGAGGGGAAUUAAGGGAGGUGGGUGGACUCUUAAGAGCUGACUAGUUUGAACCAAGGCCAACUUCAUGGGUGUGUGACCUAUGCAGUCUCACAUCACCCUUCAGAGUUUGGUUUACUACUCUGUUGUCGCUGUCUUGUAAUUCCUAACAGUUUUUCAACAAGGCACCUUUGUUUUCAUUUUACACGAAGCUCCACAAAUUACGGAGCUGUUCCUGGAGGAAUCACACAAAAUUACUGAUUUUUACAUCGAAAUGUUCAAAUAUGAGCAAUUUUCUUGUGGCUUGAUAUAUUAACAUUUGGAGAAGGGCCUUGCUCAACUGGGACUCAAAAUGCAGGGGAGAGGUGCCAUCUAGCUGUGCUGAGGCCCUGGGAGACUGAUCAAGCAGUACAAAUCAGAUCUGAAACCAACAGCCACAGGAAUCAACUGCCCUUCCACUUCAUGUUCGCAUUGCUGGGCCUGAUGCUAACAGGCACGGGAAGCAUGUCAGAUGGUCUACUCCAGUCACACACUCUCCCUCUAGUGUGUUUUUGUUGGCAAAACUCAACAUGAGGCCCCUUUUGAUGGAGAAAAUAGGGUUUGCAAAGGCCCCAGCCCAUCUCUACAAAGGAGGGCAGCCUUGGAGCCUAUUUUUUUUUUUUAAAGAUUUACUUAUUUAUUUGAAAGUCAGACAGAUGCAGAGAGGUGGAGAGGCUGGAGGGAGAGGCAGCAAGAGUGGGAGGGAUGAGGCCGUGAGAGUCUGGGAGAGAGGGAGAGAUUGUGUGUAUUACAGUUUCUUUAUCCAGUCCUCAGUUAAUGAACAUCUGGGUUGAUUCCAUAUGCUAGCUAUUGUGAAUUGAGCUACUAUAAACGUGAGAGUAUAGAUAACUCAUAUGCUGAGCCCAUUUCAUUUGGAUUAAUUCCCAGGAGUGAGAUAGUUGGAUCAUACGGUAGAUCUGUCUUUGGAUUUCAGAGGAAUAUGCAUACUCACUUCCAUAAUGAUUGUACCAGUCUACAUUCCCACCAAGAGUGUAUUAGAGUACUGUUUAUGCACCUCCUCACCAGCAUUUGUUCUGUUUUUUGGAUGGUAGCCAUUUCUAACUGGGGUGAAGUGAAAGCUUCUUGUGUUUUUUUAUUUGCAUUUCCCUAACGGUUAGUAAUCCGAGCAUCUUUUCAUGUGUCUUUGGGCCAUUUUUAUUUCAUCCUCUGAGAAAUGCCUGUUCAUACCUGUAUCUUAUUUCUUAACUGGAUUGUUUGCUUUGUUGUUGUUGAAUUUCUUGAACUCCUUAUAUGUUCUGGAUAUUAAUGAGAUGUAUGUUUUGUAAAUGUUUUCUCCCAUUCUGUCAGUUGUGUCUUCACUUUGCUGAGUGUUUCGUUGGCUGGGAAGAAGGCUCUUAGCUUGGGUGUAAUCCAGUUUGUCUAUUUUUGCCUUUAUUGCCUGUGCUUCUGGGGUCUUAUCCAAGAAGUCUUUAACUAUGCCAGUGUCUUGUAGUGUUUUCCCCUAGAAAUAUGAUGGUUUCAGGACUUAGGUUUAGAUCCUUAAUGAUUCUGAGUUGAUUUUUUUGUGUAAUAUGUAAGGUAGGGAUCUUAUUUCAUAUGUCCACAUGCAGAAAUCCAAUUUUUUCAAUAUCAUUUGUUAAAGAGUCCUUUCUCCAGGGAGUGAUUUUAAUUUGUCAAAGAUUAGUUGGUUGUAUAUCUGUGGAUUAAUUUGUGGGGUUUCUAAUCUAUUCUGUUGGUUUACAUGUCUUUUUUUUUUUUUUUUACUAGUAUCAGGCUGUGUUGAUUAUAACCACCUUAAAUUAUGUCUUGAAAUCUGGCAUUGUGAUGUCUCCAGCUUUAUUUGUAUUCUUUGCUUUAGCUAUUUGGGCUCUCUUGUGUUUCUGUAUGAGUUUUAGGGUUGUCUUUUCUAGAUCUGGGAAGAAUGUCUGUGGUAUUUUGAUUAGGAUCACAUUGAAUUUGUACAUUGCUUUGGGAAGUAUGGACAUUUUAAUAAUAUUCUUCAAAUACAUUAACAUGCAAGGUUUUCCAUUUUUUUGUGUGUCUUCCAUUUCUUAAUGUUUUAUAUUUUCAUUGUAGAGAUCUUUUAUGUCCUUGGUUAAAUUUAUCCCAAGGUAUUUAAAUUUUUUGUAGCUAUUGUGAAAAGUUGUUA